rnacentral:rRNA from 1 species
UCGGGAAUAUUGCGCAAUGGAGGAAACUCUGACGCAGUGACGCCGCGUGCAGGAAGAAGGUUUUCGGAUUGUAAACUGCUUUAGACAGGGAAGAAAAAAUGACAGUACCUGUAGAAUAAGCUCCGGCUAGCUACGUGCCAGCAGCCGCGGUAAUACGUAGGGAGCAAGCGUUAUCCGGAUUUAUUGGGUGUAAAGGGUGCGUAGACGGGAAGACAAGUUAGUUGUGAAAUCCCUCGGCUUAACUGAGGAACUGCAACUAAACUAUCAUUCUUGAGUGCUGGAGAGGAAAGUGGAAUUCCUAGUGUAGCGGUGAAAUGCGUAGAUAUUAGGAGGAACACCAGUGGCGAAGGCGACUUUCUGGACAGUAACUGACGUUGAGGCACGAAAGUGUGGGGAGCAAACAGGAUUAGAUACC